rnacentral:lncRNA from 1 species
CCCCCUCAAACCCAGGACAUUCAGUGUAAAAUGACUGUGAGCCUCAGGCUGGAAAGAUGUUUCCCUUCCCAGCUAGAAAGAUUCAUCCAUCAGGCUGUGUCAGACGCACCUGAGCCCUCCAGGGUGGUCAAAGGAAUCCGCAUCACAGAAGACAUCCAGUUGGGCAAGACCCCGCCUCCCUGACAGGUGGCACAGAAGGGUGGUUGGAGCAGGAGGGUGGGAAGUGAUACAUGGAUCUUGGAAGAACAG